CUGACCCUGCGGUGCCCGCGAGGGGGAUGAUUAUCUUCUUGGGUCAAACCUGAUCCUUGGGAUUCCAUAUAUCGGGGUUGAAUGCCUGCCGGCGAAAGCCGGGAAACACGAUUCCCCGAUGCGGAAACCCACUUGAACACGCUCGUGGUUCAAGAGGAUGCUUCUCCAGACGGCACUCGCGGGGUUUUU
rfam:Spirochaetes bacterium GWB1_66_5 gwb1_scaffold_9103, whole genome shotgun sequence.